AAAAAAAAAGAUUUUCUUUUUAUAAAAAAAUUAUAAAAUUAUUAUAAGAAUAAGUAUUAUAGAAGUAAAUAAUUUUUAUAAAAUUAAUUUUUAUAAAGCUUAUUUAGAAAAUAAAAUUUUUAAAUUUUUAAUUAUUAAGUUAUUUAUUUAAUUAUUUUUUUAAAAGUAGUGCCAGCAAUUGCGGUUAUACUAUUAAAUAAUAUAAUAUUUUCUUUUGUUGAAAUUAGUAUAAAAUAAUAGUUGAUUUUUUAAAAUUUAAGGUGAAAUUUGAUUUUAUAAAAAAAAUAUAAAUUAGAAUACGAUUUUAUAAUUAAAAACAAGGAUUAGAUACCCUUUUAUUUAUAAAAUAAAUAAAUAGUAACUAUAUGUAAAUUUAAUAUAGUUGGCGGUAUUUUAUUAAAUUAGAGGAAUUUGCCCUGUUAUGGAUACAACCCCAAAAUCUUAUUUUAUUUUAUAAAUUUAGUUUGUAUACCAUUAUUAUUAUCAUAUAUAAUAUUAUCAUAUUAAUAAAUAUUAAAUUUAAAAUAUUAAAUCAAGGUGCAGUUUAUAGUAAAGAAUGAGGUGAAUUAUAUUAUAUUUUUAUUAACUAUAUUAUAAUUGAAAAGUUAUAUUAGAGUAAAAUUUAAAAGUAAAAAUUAUAAAAUAUGUAAUUUUGAAAUUUAUAAUAAAAUAUGUACAUAUUGCCCGUCAUUUUCAAAUUUUGAAAGAAGUCGUAACAAAGUAAAAUUACCGGAAGGUAAUUUUAAAGAUAUUAUAUUAUAAAUUAUAAUUAUAAACAUUUUUUGUUAUCUUUUCAUGAAUUAUUUUAAUUCAAUU
rnacentral:rRNA from 1 species